CCUGACGGCAAAGGCAAGGUCACAGGAGUGAAAUGAAUUGGAAAGGAUUCGUCCAUGUUCUUCGCUUCUGCCCUUGCCCUUUUGGCAUCAGCAACAUAAGCUCCAAAGAGUAUUCAGCAUCAGAAUCAUAAACAAUCUAAUGGCCAGCAAAACUAGAUAAGUUUGAAAAAUGAAUCCAUCGGGGGUUGCUAUACAUGUACUCAUUCAUUCAGUUAAUGUUAACUUCUCAGAAACGCCUUCUCUGACGUCUAUUUAAACUUACCUCCUCUUUAUUUCCUGCUCCAUAGUCUUGCAACACUUAUCAUUGUCUGAAAUUUAUCUUUUUGUUUCCUCCACCAGAAUGUAAACCCCGUGAAUCCAGGAGCCGGGACAGCCUUUGUUCCUUGUUAUUUUUAAAAAGAAGACGAAGAAUAAAAGACACACAGGAACAGAUGUUCUUUCACUGGGUGUUGUUGGAUCUGGUGGUUGCCUGGGUCUGCUACAGCUGUACAACUAACAGAGCAGAGUUCACUUUGAGGACAAAGUUGGCACCGAAGGUGACAGAGAUGGAAGAUGAUAAGGCCUGAAUCUUUGAUGAUGCCAGUGAGCUGCUAAAUAAAUUAAGCAGUCUUGGAGCUGCCCUA